rnacentral:lncRNA from 1 species
AAGAGGCCGAAAGAGGAAUUUGACAAAAUUAAACAAGAACUUACCAAGGAAGAGAAUGAUGUUCAGAAGUAUUCUUUCCUUGACCUGAUGAAGAACAGUACACUUCGAAAAAGAAGCAUUAUAUUGUACUAUAUUUGAUUUGGACGAAAGAGACCACUGUUUAUGUAUUUUACAUUAGCUUCUAUCCUGAUGAUUACUGCUGGUGUCAUACCCCUUGCUGUGUCAAGCACUGACGCCUCAUACAUUGCCAAUGGAUUCGCCAUUGCAGGAAAGUUUGCUAUGGCUGGACUAUUUGUUACUAUUUUUAUCUACACGGCUGAGCUCUAUCCUACAGCAGUCAGAAAUAUCGGAAUGGGCAGUUGUGCAUUUUGGACUAGGGUUG